rnacentral:tRNA from 1 species
GCGGCAAUGGUCCAGUGGUUAAGACUUGGGCUUCCCAAGCCCAAAACCCGGGUUCGAUCCCCGGUUGCCGCA